GCAUCUGCUGGGCAUGGACGCAGCUCCUCAGGCUGGUCGUGCCCUCUGGACUGUUCCUGGCAGCAGAGGGGACGCUGCAGCUCCCAAGGCCGUGCCCAUGCCAGUUGUGAUGGGGCGGUUGGUGUGAGGGAGCCUUCUGCCUCUCCACCCUGUGGUGUCUUCAUGCCUUAGAACUGAACACGACGAUGACCGUGUAUGGUAACAGAGAUGUGAAAUGGAGAGAACUCACCCUGAGGACAUAGGAACUGGUGUUAUCCCGGGCAAGGCAUUUUCAUGUUCUUUAGUUUCAAGCAGGCACUAAGUGAAUUCAUUUUUUUUUAAGUCUUUACAGAAAGAAGCACGUUUGAGGGCUUCUGCUCACCAGGAGACAAUCCGUCUGCAGAACCAGGGGGUGCCAAGUGCCCCCUACCAGGACUCGAACAGUGAUGAGGAGGGUGAAGCCGUCGAAAACCACAACCAAGGGGAACGCGGAGAGGAAGGGGCCAGAAUCUAUUCUCCAGAGAGUGAUGAGGGACCAGAUGGAGAUGGGGCUCAAAGAUCACUGACAGCAAAGAAACUCACCACUGAUAAGAUGAACCCUCCAGAAAGAGGAAAGCAGGGAGUGAAGAGGAAGAGGAUGACUGAAGCAUAAAACGUGUACUUACUAUAAAUAUGGUUUUCAACUGCUUGCUUUAAAACAGUGAUGAAAUGACUUGGGAUUGAAGUGAGGAACUGAAUUCCUUUUGCAUA
rnacentral:lncRNA from 1 species